rnacentral:rRNA from 1 species
GACGAACGCUGGCGGCGUGCCUAAUACAUGCAAGUUGAGCGCUGAAGGUUGGUACUUGUACCAACUGGAUGAGCAGCGAACGGGUGAGUAACGCGUGGGGAAUCUGCCUUUGAGCGGGGGACAACAUUUGGAAACGAAUGCUAAUACCGCAUAAAAACUUUAAACACAAGUUUUAAGUUUGAAAGAUGCAAUUGCAUCACUCAAAGAUGAUCCCGCGUUGUAUUAGCUAGUUGGUGAGGUAAAGGCUCACCAAGGCGAUGAUACAUAGCCGACCUGAGAGGGUGAUCGGCCACAUUGGGACUGAGACACGGCCCAAACUCCUACGGGAGGCAGCAGUAGGGAAUCUUCGGCAAUGGACGAAAGUCUGACCGAGCAACGCCGCGUGAGUGAAGAAGGUUGUCGGAUCGUAAAACUCUGUUGGUAGAGAAGAACGUUGGUGAGAGUGGAAAGCUCAUCAAGUGACGGUAACUACUCAGAAAGGGACGGCUAACUACGUG